CCUUCCAUUCCACCGCGCUGGCCCUCGUGGGACUGCGAGACAGAGAGUGAGAGGAAGCUGCGUCCCUCGCUCGUCUGCACAGCAAAGUGGCGGCCGCCGUAGGAAGAGGAAGGCGAUACCAUACCCUAGGUUGCCGUUUCGUCCACGUAGUCUCUAUCGUCGUCGUCGCCGUCGUCUCUGCCGCCAGAGCUCGCCGCCUGUAUAGCUAGCACUCGACGGCUUCGUGGGCAUGCUAGCCCUGCAGGGACGUGGGAGGAAGAGAGAUAGUGCCAUAGGUAGGACUCCUAACUUGUAGCUAGUAGCUAGGGAAGAGCUGCUUUGAUAGUUGGAUUGCGACAUGCUUUACCACACCAUUGGCUGCUUUGGGUGGUGCUGCCGGCCGGAGAGAGAGAGAGAGAGAGAGAGACGUUAGGCCGGCCAGCGCUUUAGGUUCAAUAUAUAUAUAAAAAAAUUGCAUCAAAAGCUGCAUCAUCCUUUAGUCCCCUUGGGAAGUAUUCUCGCCAGUGUCUUGUGCUCCAUGUCCUUUGCAUUCCCUCCUUUGUGUAGCUGCUGUACUAUACUCCACAGUACUUUUUCGGUGAGCAGGUGGCCAUGGAGCUACUUGAGCUGUGCUGUAUUGUGUGUACUCCUCUUCCUACAUGUGUUGUCCAGCUGCUAGCAUAUGCUUUGCUGCCCCCCCUCGAUCGAUCUCCUCUCCUCUAUAAAUCCAGCUCCUGCUCUUUCUUCUACCUCCAUCUCCUUCACGCCUUCUCGCUAGCUGUUCUUUCCUCCUCUCUCAACCCUAACCCUAGAUCUCUGCUACCUUCCUCCUCCCCUCCAGCUAGCACAAGUCUGUUCAUCUUGCUGUCUUUGUUGCUCAUCGUGCUCCAGUUCUGUUCCUAGCUCGCUACAUAUAGCGUUAUACUGCAUGCCCAAAACGGAACACAUGUUUGUGCUCUCCUGGCCGGCCAGUCUCUUCAUUCCUUGCACAGUUGCAAAUACAGUUGUGUGACAGAGAUAAACAGAGAGUCAAAUACGUACAUAAAGAGGUUUGAUCAAAUUCAGAUUUGUGUGCGUGCCUGGCUCCCUGUAUGCCACACAUGUAGCGCCCAACCCAGAUGCUAAGGUUGCCUGCUGUGGGUGGCGUGCAAGGGGCCAAGCAUGCAUCCAUGCAUGCAUGCACUUUUGUUCGAUUCAUUCUUCAUGCCACUUUUUGAUGGCUAGUACCAUGGAGCCGGCCCAAGGGAGGAAGCUAUAGCCAAACUGGUGUGUGGAUUACAAUUUUGUGUGCUUCUCCUCACCGGCCAGUUUGCCAGAAUAAUGGCAGCAGCUUGCUCAGCUCCGAGAAGAAACCAGCUGUGAGGUUAUCAGGAACUUGUAUGGUUUCAAUUUGUUUGUGGUUUUUAACACAUGGCAGAUCGAUCAUCCUUUGCCUCAAAUGAAGUACACAUAUCGCUAGUAGCUCGCCUUCUGCAUGCUUUGGGAUAUGUAUGCUUCAAUAUACCAUCGUGCGUACGUCGUGUGAUCCCUGAAUUCCAGAAACAUACACACAACAUUUUUUUACCAUCGAUCUUUAUUUUGAUCUAGACUGUAUUAUUAAUCUGAAUUGAGUAUAUACAUUGUCAUUUGUCAACGUGAUCAUGCUUUGGUUUGAUUUAUUUCUGUUUUUUACAUGCUCGCUUUUCUUAUCUGUCAAUCCUUUCUACUGCUUCUUCUGCCCUCUCUACAGUGAACAUCAUUCAUAUAUAUAGGCAUCUUUCCGCUUAUUAUUACUGUUGUUUUCAAAUGAAACUGCCACGCAUUUAGCUAGGAUUGGUGCUGCAAAUGUAAAACACACAACCAAGGCCCAGUUCCUACUGGACUACAUUACAUUACAUGAAUCAACAAAUUAACCCGUUAAAAGGCGGGUGUCUGGGUUUUCAUUAAUUUCUUUUGUUCCUUGAUUUUUUUUCAGUUCAGUUCAAUCCUUAGGACUAGUUUGGCAACCCUAUUUUUUCAUGGGAUUUCCAAUUUCCCAAGGAAAAAUAAACUAAUUUCCCUUAGAAAAAUGAAAAACCCUUAGAAAAAUAGUGUUCCCAAACUAGCCCUUAUACUGUAUAUAGUUAUAUAUUAGUGUUUCUCCAAUGCAUGGGGCUUAUCAUAUGAUCAGUACGUGGAAGGAGCUGCUUGUAGCUAGCUAGCACAGUGAACAGUGCGCGAAGGAAUUUCUCUCAAAAGGUUUUCGAGGGACCACACACAUCUUUUUUCCCAAAAGGUUAAUUUUGAACGACAGAGAAAGUACACAUACAUAUAAUCCUUGUAGUCAUUGUAUAUGCGGUAGAUUAAGUGAUGAUAUCAUAUUCAUAUAUGUCGUUUAAAUUUACUCCCUCUGAUACAAAUUAUAAGACAUUUUAACUUUUUUCAGAUUCAUGGACAUUAUUAUAUAUGUACUUAAAUAUAUAUACAUUAUGUCUAGAUACAUAAUGAAAACAACGUAUGCAGAAAAAUUGGGACACCUUAUAUAUAGUUUAUUAGAACAGAGAGAAAGAGAGAGUAGUUGUUUGUGUGUAAUGCAUGCCUAGCUAGUGGUUUUUGAUUGAAAGAUCUUGUACCGGUUCUCCGGUUGGUGUUAAGACUGUCUCCAGCAACGUCCUCUAUAUCCGUUUAAUAUAGUCUCCUCUAAAAGAUUUCAUCCCAUAUAUCUUCUUUCUUUCCAACAACGUUUUCUAAAUCACGUACUCUAUACGUAAAUACAUAUAUUAAAGACAUUUUUAAAUUUUUAAUUUUUGUACAGACGUAUUUGUCAUAUUCUUAAAUGUAUUGUACAUAUUUUAAUUUUUCUAAACCGGUUGUUUUAAGUAUGCAAAUGGAUAGAGGAUCGUUUAGAGAAACUAUAUAGAGAGAGAAUCCAACAGCGUUCACUAAAUUUAGAGGAUCGUUUAGAGGAUGCUACUGAAGAGAGUAGAUGACGACCUCAUCAUCUAAAUUUAGGGUAGUGAAGGCAUCUACUGUACAUGUAAUAUUCCUCCAUAUAGGCAUCAUUUUAGUGACCCUUCCCCCACCGCGCUUGUUGCGGCAUGCAGGUUGGCAUUAGGUUGCCUUGGUGGUUAAUUAUGUUAGCGGUUUAUUGUUAUGGCGUGUCUCAGUUUAUGUUGUGGAGUGUGUGUCAUGUUGUCGCUUCUGCUGUUGUUGUGUGGAUGCAUGCAUGUGUUUUGUGUUGUUUGUGUAAUAAGUUUCUUGUUCGAUAUUAAUACAUAUGGCCGCCAAAUUUCUCACCAGUUGUUUUCCUUUUUGUUUAAAAAAGAAACACACUUGCAGAUAUAUCUCAAUAUAUAUACUUGGUUACAUGCGUUUUCAUAAGGCCACUGGAUGCAAUUUUACUUCAUUCAUUAUGUAUGUUUUCUUUUUCACCCAUGUUGGUUUUAGCAUAUGCUCACUUCAACAUCAUCAAGUACUAGAAAAUACUUGCGAAGUAGGGCAACCUUUUUUUUUUUGGGAAAAAAGGCGAUAAGAGAUUUUCUGAUUAAUAUAUUAGACGAGAAAAAGAAAACCACCCUGUCCCUGAUAUACAACACCAACCGCCAGUCUACUACUUAGAGAGAAAAAAACAUAAAAAACAGGCCCAGAUCGAAGCACCAGCAGACCGAUCGGAGAAACCAAAACAAAACCGAUGAGCAUUGACAGUUUGACACCAACUCAGGCUUUGUUCGGGUUAGAUUGGGGGUGUAAAUUAGUUUAACUUAUACCCGCGUCAAUCCAUAUGUAUUAAGAUAAAUAUUAAAAUAUCCAAACAAAGUAAACAUUGCACUGCAUCUUCAUGCAAUCACACCAUCGUCACAUGCGUCCUCGGUGCAUGAGUUAGCUUAGAGAGUACGUGUUUAUCCGAACACUGAACUUUCUUUUGGCAUCAUCCAUCUGCAUGGCUAGUAUUCCUUCCUCGGUUCCAAAUUACAAGCUAUUCUAACUUUUCCUUUUUUUAUGCAUCUAAACAUUAAUUGUACAUACACACUGCACUUAGAAUUUUAGAUAGACGCUAAAAACUACAGAUCUUAAAAGCUAAAACGACUUGAAAUCUGAACGAAGAACGUACGAAUUAGUUUUUCUAGCUCAAUUGUCUAGCUAUAUGAGGGCUUUUGUGCAACGAUGACGUGAAAGAGUUGCACAUUUUUUUACAAUUUUCAUGAUGGUUGUUGCUCGAUCUUUAAAAGCAAAUGUCUAGCUAGCUUAAAUUACGGGCGCGCGCUUGUCCGGUAUAUAUCCGUACACGAACAGAAAGUUGGACUGUGCCAGCUCAGUUCAUGCUCCCCCCAGCUUUAUGCUUUGCAUUGGGGCUUGCUGUGGCCUGUGUGGGUCCUCUUGACAGAUACUGCCUACUGAAAAGAAACCAAAACACGUUGAAUAUAGUUUUUUUAUAAUGAAAAAAAAAUCUAGCCUUUUGCGCACUCUCCUGCAUACAGCUUUGCAGAUCUGAAAAUAACAAACAUCCACCAUUAAACAAAAGGAAACAUCCUAAGAGAAAACACAUAAACGAAUCAAACACCCUCUAAUCUAGCAUUGGAUCUCCAAUCAUAGCUUGCAAAGAUCUCUAUAUAUCUAACACCUCUAAGGCUCGACAUACUGUAAGGAUCUUUUGUUGAGCUUCUUCUUUCUGCAACAAUCUCCAAAAUCUGAACCAGUAUGUUCCCCUGAAUAGAACCUACAUAAUAGAUAGGUUUUGGUUUAAAAUUUAAAACACCAUCAUUGCGACAAAGCCAAAAGACCAAAACAAUACCGUCACUCCAAUUAGGAGUUUUUUCUAUAUGCGAGAUUAUUGUUAGCAACCCAAUUGCCCAUUAUAUGAUUAAUACUGAUGGUAAGUAAUUCUCCAAAUAAUUAUAGCAAGGUAACAAUUUAAAAAAAUGCUAAAUACUAUCAUUUUAAUUACAAAACUUGCAUUUCAUGCUACCUUUCCAGAUUCCACCCGAGCUUAGCUAAGUUGUCACUGGUGAGAGUAACAACUCCGUGGCCCUACCUAGAUACCCACAAGAAAAUUAUAUAUUUUUGAGGGAGUUUAAGUUUCCAAAGCAGCGUAUUACGAUUUGUAGGGGUGUACUCAUUAAAAGAGAGUAUAUUGAGUGAACCGAGAAAUGCCCAUCCUCCUCCCCCCUCCCCUUCCCCCCAAAAAAAAUCAUGUCUCUCCAUUGUUUCAAAUAGACAGCUGGUUACUAGAAAUUUUCCUUUUUUCCACGGUUCAUGGAACGAAGUGUCAUGUGCGAGCUACUACUAGAAUUUAGAGUCUAUUUAGUUGAACUAUGAGCUGUGAAAAAUUUGUUCAAGUUGAAACAGCUAUAGAACGUCUUCCCAUUUUCCACCAAUUUUUUUUUUAAAAAAUAGCAAGAUAAAACAAAAAAAAGAGUACACAAGGUGCUAGAAAAACUGACUAUAAAAAUGCAGUUGCUUCUGGAAGUAAAAAAAAACAGCUUUGGGAUCCAUCUGUUCGGUUGACGUUGGUUCCUGCAUUUUGGCAGCAGAAACAAACUUGUAGAAAAGCCAGCAGGUGUGCCUUCAAUUCACACAGAGGGACAGAUGAGGCGCCUCUGAUCUGAACAUAACGCAUGCAUUUCAUGCAAAGCUGCUUAACUUUGAAUGAGCUGCAUACACCACCACACCAUUUUCUCCGUGAUCACCACGCAUGCCGUUGCCACUUUGGCAAGGGCCACGGCCACGGCCACUGCACUGCACGGGUCACUCAUUCAUCGUCCACGUAUGUCGUACGUGCUAGCUCCCGCCUUCCUGGCCGCUUGGCCGGCCAGCCAGUCAGCACACAACAGGCAGCAGCAGCAGCAGCCGCCAUUGUUGCAGACCUGCAGGCUUCAGUGCAUGGACCAAGUCGGGCAGGAGCUAGCAGUGCUACAAAGACGUGCGCAUGCAUGUCGUAGGGGGUCAGCGGCGGGCCAGUACGCAGCCCGGCAUCCACAAGGACCGUGCCAAGAUUUGUUUGGAGUCCUCUGGUUGGGAGGAGCACGGAACACCUGGGUCCCGUCUUGCACGGCGACGACCUCGCAUAAUUGCGGUGACAGAGACAGGGAACAGGACGGAUGGCAGCUGCUUCUGCUUGGACGAUGGACGAACCGCGAACGCCUGUGCGUGCGACGAUGUUGGACGCCUACGGGACAACGCAUCAGUGUCUCAGUUAUCGAAAGUGAUGUAACUGAAGCUCGCUGGAUCAUUGAUGCAUCCGAGUGUUAGCGACCUAGUCGGAAACGGGGAAGAGGAGGAGAUCGGGGCCUCGGCGGCGACGGCCGGCGAGGACAGUUUCAGUUUCAGUAGAGAAGGGAAAUUGUAUUAGAAACCCAAUCUGGGCCAGAUACAUUCUUGUUCUUGGGCCGGACGCGGUAACCUCUUCUUCUGGGCUUGCUUGUACUUACACCGUGGAAAAAAGAAUCGCGUCUUCAAUCCAAAA